rnacentral:rRNA from 1 species
UGUUUACGUCUUGGUGCGCGACGACGAUGAGCCCCAAAGCUAUAUCGGCGUCACUUCGGAUCUUCGGCACCGUUUCAAUCAGCACAAUCAGGGACUGAAUGCUUCGACGCGCGGACGCAAGUGGCGUCUCGCUUAUUACGAAGCAUAUCUGUCGCGACGCUCUGCGGAAAAGCGCGAGCGGCUGCUGAAGCAGAACGGACGCAGUCGAAGAUUUCUGAUGCAGAGAGUUUGGAGCAGCUUGGAAGAAAGCGAUGCUCAAAGAGAUGUCAUUUAGUGGCUGGGGAAAGAUUUAUCGGUGAAGGAUUAGCCCGCGUCUGAUUAGGUAGUUGGUGAGGUAAUGGCUCACCAAGCCUACGAUCAGUAGCUGGUCUGAGAGGAUGAUCAGCCACACUGGAACUGAGACACGGUCCAGACUCCUACGGGAGGCAGCAGUAAGGAAUAUUGGACAAUGGGGGCAACCCUGAUCCAGCCAUGCCGCGUGAGUGACGAAGGCCUUCGGGUUGUAAGCUCUUUCGGAUGUGAAGAUAAUGACGUAGCAUAAGAAGAAGCUCCGGCUAACUCGUGCCAGCAGCCGCGGUAUACGAGUGGAGCGAGCGUUGUUCGGAAUCACUGGGCGGUAAGCGUGCGCAGGCGGUCAUGUAAGUCAGGAGUGGAAAUCCAGAGCUUAACUCUGGAAUUGCUCUUGAAAACUGCAUGACUCGAUCCCGGAGAGGUUGGCGGAAUUCUCAGUGUAGAGGUGAAUUCGCAGAUAUUGAGAGGACACCAGUGGCGUAGCGGCCACUGGCGGGUAUUGACCUCAGGCACGAAGCGUGGGAUCAACAGGAUAGAUACCUGGAGUCACGCUUAACGAUGGUGUACUGUCGGACUUCGUCUCGCGACACCUACCAUAACCACCCCUGGGAGACGUCCAGAUAAAUCAAGAAUGAGGGGCCGACAGCGUGAGCAGUGUUAU